UCGACGGUUUAUGUUUUUUUU
rnacentral:piRNA from 1 species